rnacentral:rRNA from 1 species
CAUCCUGGGGCUGAAGUCGGUCCCAAGGGUAUGGCUGUUCGCCAUUUAAAGUGGUACGCGAGCUGGGUUCAGAACGUCGUGAGACAGUUCGGUCCCUAUCUGCCGUGGGCGUUGGAUGAUUGAAGGGAGUUGCUCCUAGUACGAGAGGACCGGAGUGAACGAACCUCUGGUGUUCGGGUUGUCACGCCAGUGGCACUGCCCGGUAGCUAAGUUCGGAAUCGAUAACCGCUGAAAGCAUCUAAGCGGGAAGCGAGCCCUGAGAUGAGUCAUCCCUGACCCCUUGAGGGUCCUAAAGGGCCGUUGGAGACCACAACGUUGAUAGGUGGGGUGUGUAAGCGUAGCGAUACGUUGAGCUAACCCAUACUAAUUACCCGUGAGGCUUAACCAU